AAAAAUAAUCAUAUUCAAAGCUUUAUUAAUAGAGCAAAGUUCAUUACAAAUCUCUGGCAGAGGCUGCAAGUCCAGCUAGCCAAUAAAAUAAUCAUUAAACAACGAAAAUCAGACCCAAAAAAGAGAAACAGAAAAGAACCAACUUAAGUUGCCUUCUCAACUUCAAAAUAAAAGAUAAAAAUGGGGGGAAGGGGGUCUUAAAAUGGAUUGUUUAGUCAUGAAGAAUUAAUUCAAUUUUAGUAACCAUUAGUGGCUGAUUUAGCUACGGAGGUGUAGAAGAAAGGCCCCACGGAGUACAAAUUCAUCUUCUUAUUUAGAACACUGAAAUUAGAAAGAGGAGCACCAUCAAUCCCUUUGUUGUCAUUCGUGGGAAUAUUACAGGUCUUCAAUGGAGAGCUCUCGAGAUACGCCUUGCAAUCUUUAACCUUCAACUUAUCUACGACACCUGAAUGAGACAAUGUGGCAAAGAAGUAACCCUUUGCAUCAGUUGCGCCGCUGCAAAUGGAGACGGUUUUCUCGAGCCCGCCCUUAUCAACAGCUUUACAUGUUAUCUUUGCUAAAGCCCCUGCUCAUGCAUAGAAAUUUGAUCAGAAGUGAACCCAAUUAGACAAUCUUCUCAAACAAAGUCAUAAUAUACAAAAGGGAUUAUUAGGAAAUCAAUUGUCCAAAUCGAUAUACCUUGAAUUGGAUAAUACUUGGAACCUGAUUUACAUAAAACAAGCCCUUGAACACCAACGGAGAGAAGAUUUUCCUUUUCUUCCGACUUUGGUUCAUAGAACUCUGUUUUUGUGUCAUAGUAAGGCUUUUCUUCUCCUUCUGGCUUUGGUUUAACAACGUAUGAUUUUCUGCCAUACUCAGGCUUUUCCUUUUCUUCUGUCUUCGGUUUGUAGAGGUAUCCCUUUGUGUCAUAAUCAGGCUUUUUUUCUCCUCCAUACCCAGACUUUUCCUCUGGCUUCUCCUUGUAGUUGUCUGGUUUUGUGCCAUAGUAAGGCUUUUCUUCUCCUUCUGGCUUUGGUUUAGCAACGUAUGGUUUUCUGCCAUACUCAGGCUUUUCCUUUUCUUCUGGUUUUGGCUUGUAGAUGUUUUGUUUUGUGCAAUAAUUAGGCUUUUCUUUUCCUUCUGGCUUUGGUUUAACGACCUCCGGUUUACUACCAUAAUCAGGCUUUUCUUUGUCUACCGGCUUGGGCUUGUAAUAGUCUGGCUUUGUAGGCUUUUCUUCUUCUUCUGGCUUUGCUUGAGGGCUGUCAGCUGGUAUUCCAUCGAAACCAUAUUUAGAUGAAUCAUCAUUACUAUAAUCACCAGCGGAAGCAAUGACCAGCAAUGACAGUAGAAGCAAUGAGAAUGCCAAGGAGAGACGGGUGAGAGCCAUGAUUAUUGCUAUUAACUCUGCAAUGUAAUUAUAAGAAUGGAGAGAGAAAUACAAAUGGAUGAAUAAUAGGGGCUGCGACCAUUGUCUUUUAUAAGGAAAUUGGUCAAACAUACACAUACUCACCAAUAAUUAAGAUCUAUAGAAAUAAGAUGAACAAUCGAUUUAGAGAUUAGAACAUGGGCGCACGAUCGCAACGUGAUUUGUAGACUUGGGUACCACUAACUAAUGUACAUGAAUGCUGCUUUGAGUGCCACCCCAAGACAUUGUCUGCUGGCGUACAAAGGUUUUCUUUGAUUGCAUACAUACAUAAUCGUCUCAAUGCUUGGUUGUUUUUUAAUACGACUAUCUUAUUUUACUCCUUUCAUUCACUUAUUUAUUUUUUUACUGCUUAAUUAUAAUUUAACUUAUUUUAUCGUGUAUAUAUGUUGUGAAGAUAAAGGAGUGAAUUAAUAAUGAGAAAUGGAGCCCAGUAGGAGAAUAAAUGUAGUAUGAAAGAAUCUCUUAGACUUAUUAGUUGAGUGAAAUUUGGAUAGAGUUUUUAGGUAAAAUUAUAGUAUUUGUACAAAAAAAAAUUACUAUCAUAUUCUUACUUAUUACCAUAUUUCUUUAAUCUUUGAUUAAAAGAAGUAUUAGAAUUAAUUUUCCUUUAAUAAAAGACUUUUGAGGUUCAAUUCAAAACUUAUUUACUCAUCACGUCAUAGUAUAAUUUAUGAUAAAAUACAUCAAAUCCCUUAAAUUUUAAUCGAAAUUCUAAAUAGAUCCAUUAAUUUUUAAUAUGGACACUCCGUCUCAAAUAAAUAUAACUAUUAGUGUUUCUAUUAGUUUGAUGAUGUAAUAAUAUUGAAAUAACAAUUUUAUUUUUUAUUAAUUUUAAAAAUUACUAUUAUAUAUUUUGUAUUAAUUAAAAAAAAAGGAGGUGCUCCCUUCUCUUGGGUGCUUUCCUUUCUUGGGGAGUUGGGCACCGAUCAAUGCUCUUUUUUUAAGGUUUUUUUUUUAAAAAUAUAAUAAUAAUUUUUUAAGUUAAUAAAAAAAAGACAAUUUAGUCCUUUCAUCAUCUCUGUUAACGGUGUUUACACUUAUGGGUUGGAGUAUCUAUUUCAAAAACUAAUAGACCCGUUUAAAAUUUCGAUUAAAAUUUAGAAAUGUAAGGGUAUUUUAUCCGAUAAUUUAAAAUCAUUUUCAACUUCCUUAUUUAGUCAUGUGUCUUUGUAGUUUGAAUUGAAUCAAAUUAACUGAUGUUUUUGUCUUAGUUCUUGGUUACAGACUUAUAUUUUUAACUCAAAAAACAUGCAUGUUAGGUGGAUAAAGGUUUUUUCUGUAAAUCCAAGACUUAUUCCAUAUCUUACUGAUAUGAGAUUUGUAACAUUCGACCUCACUUAAUUGUGCAACGUCCUCAUUGCACUGAUUCUUUUACCUAUAAAGAAGAGAGACCGUACCUUGAUUCGAGUUUAUUUCGACUUUGGUAUCUCUCAUGAACUCUUAUGUUGAUAAAGAUUUAAAUUUGUUUUGAUAUCACUUUACACAUAUCUAUGUUUCUAACUAAAAAAAUAUAUUUAUUAAAUGAAAAAAUGCUUUUAUUUACAAGUUCAAAACUCACUUUAUCUCUUAUUAAUAUAAAAUCCAUAACAUUUACAUAGGACUUAUUAUUACCUUAAGAACUACUUUCCCAUGUAUUUUAAACUCUUCAUUUAAAGAAUCAACCAGUUAGAACCCUUCAUCAUCUUCAGGCACUUUCCUUCAUCUUAUUCUAGCCAUUAGUUAUGGCUUUUCUUGUAUCAUUAAUUCGUCAGGGUUCAAACUGGGAUGAUCAACACAAAUUAAAUCAAGAUGGGCAUUGUCGUUGUGGGCUUGGUAAAGAACCUCACCAUCGAAUGCAUUGGGUUACAGCUAAAUUUGCUGGAGUACGUUCUGAACUCAUAACCCAAUUGAGCCCAAAUUUCAUCUACUGUCUUUUUUGUAUUUUUAUUUAUGAAAAUUUUUUAUUCACCAGCAACAUAACCCUAAAUUUUCCAUUCUUCAGAACUUAAGCAAUUAAAUUUGACAUUCACCAACAACAUAACCCUUGUGGAUGUUAUAUUUGUAGAAUAAUUAAAUAAUGGUUGAAUGUUGAAAAGUAACAAAUAUAUAUAUAGCAUAAGAAGAAACCAGCAGACAAUGGAUCUAACAUGGCCCAGUAAAAUUAUACAAAGAAGAGUUCAGAAAUGAACAGAGACUGCGGACUGUAGAGCUGUUAUUCUGAAAUGCCGUGUAAAAUUUCAAAAGGCCAGCGUCAGCAAAGCUGACAUCCCCCGCCAAUCAACCAAGAUUCUUUUGCCCACGAAUUUGACAAACAAUGUUCUCAGCGGUUUCCAUACUCAUCAGCUAGUUUAGUGUAAUAGUAUUAGUGACUAUACAUUAAUUAUUCAUAGCCGAAUAUCUUAACUAUUUGUUUAAGCACUCUUUAUUGUUAAUUAUUUCAAGAUCGACCUUCCGUGCUUUGACCUUCAAUUAGUGGACUAAGCAAUCUUUGCUAAAUAUAUUAACUUUACUGCCUAGCUAAUUUAAUGCCCAAGUUAAUCUAUUUUAUUACCACUUGUUUAGUUGUACUGCUUUAUUUAUUCAUUUUCUUCAAUGCUCCUCAUUUAUCCAAAAUUUUCAACCAAAUGAACUUUCAGGCAUGUGUUUCCACUUAAAGAUAACAAAGUGAGCUUCCCCCACACUUUUGAAAGGAACAUUUUGUAACUUUGGAUAAGUUUAAGGGGGAACGACGGUCCUAUUAAUAAAUCUGAAUUAAUUUUUUUUAAAAAAAAACAAACAAAUAAAGCUUUUAACAGUUGGUUUUACGUUAAGAUAAUCAUGAUUAAUUCAUAGUGAAAAAACAAACAACAAACACAUCAAUUAAUUGUGCAACUUGACCAUUGCAAUUUAAAAUAUACAAUGGACCCUGGUCAGAGCAGAUGGAAGAAAAUCUUCUGAAAUCUUUUGAAGGACGAGUAUCACCUAAUGCUGGUUAGCUUGGUAAAGAUUAUGGAAGUUACUUAAUGUUUAGCAAAACUUCCCAUUUCCUUAUGUUUUUUCCACCUUACCAAAAGUCAUAAUACUGUUCCAAACCUUUCCAAAAUUUCCUACCAGGAUUACCUCGUUUUAGUCCGACCAACCAAAAAUCAUAAGAGAAUUCUUUAGACUUGGCCGCCAUUGGCCAAGCGACGUAAGACCAGGAACAUGCCAGCAAAAGAAAAGAAAAUAUAUUCGUACACAAGAAAAACAAAUUAAAUUUUUACUGUACACCCAAGGCAGGCAAAUUCACACGAAAGUUCCAAUUUCCAACUUGCAUUCACUGUCGCCCACCACCGCUCUUUGCCUCCCACUACUUAAAACCCUGCUCUUUCCUCACCUUUCAUUCUUCACUGCGAAAUUCUUUUAUAUUAAACCCAUUUUUUGUUUCUUCAAAGUCCUUAAACCCUUUUUUCUUGUGACAGCUUCUUCACUACUGCAUUUAUUGCUCAAAUACCGUUAACAAUAGUUGCUUUGCUUCUACUGGUUAAGAAAUGUGUGGCGGUGCUAUCAUUGCUGAUUUCAUCCCUCGCAAGCGUGGCCGCAACGUCACCGCCUCUGACCUCUGGCCUAACCCACCCUUCGCUAAAAUCGAUGGUUUUAACUCCGAACUGUGUCAAAUUGGCCAUAGUGACUCGCUCUCCCACUUCAAAGGACCACAAACCGAGCCCUCCUUAGGUGCCAUUCCCUUUCUGCUUGUGGUUUUAUUCGAUCUUUUUGUUCUUUCAUUUUGCUUUUGUGUUCUAAUUGUGGAAUUUGUUAACAGGUGUUGAGCAAGUGGAGAAGAAGCCAAAGAGGCAGAGAAAAAACCUGUACAGGGGCAUAAGGCAACGCCCCUGGGGCAAAUGGGCAGCAGAGAUUCGGGACCCUGGGAAAGGUGUUCGUGUUUGGCUCGACACUUUCAACACUGCGGAAGAAGCAGCCCGAGCUUACGACAGAGAGGCCCGCAAGAUCCGGGGAAAAAAAGCUAAAGUUAAUUUCCCUGACGAAGACAACGACUUCUCCAUUCAAUAUAACCAAGAUCAUUUUAACAACCAUGAAAUCAAUAACCAUAACUCAGCGGCUGCGUGGAAUCCCAUCCCCAAUUCCAAUCCACCUGUUUAUCCACAGCCCUGUAAAAAUUUAGAUAAUUAUGGAUUUGGUUAUGACCUGAACCAGUUCGGCGGUUAUGCUACAGACCCUAUUGUUAUAUCUGGGGAGAAAAAUUCAAUGUCUGGUUCAGAAGGGUCCUACUCUUGUAAUCCAAAUAUGAACAAUGGUUGUUUAUAUGGCCCAGUAAAGGUUGAAGAAGAAGACGAAGAGAAGCGAGAAGAGCCAGUGAACAGGGUUGUGUUGCAAGUUCAAGAAGAAAACCAAGUAGAGAGGUUCUCUGAGGAUCUGAUGGCUUAUGAAAAUUAUAUGAAGUUUUUUCAGAUUCCAUAUUUGGAUGGGCAAUCAACGACACAAACUGUUGCUGUUCCGCCUAAAAAUGUUAUCGGCGAGCUUUGGAGCUUUGAUGAUGGUGGUGUUCUUGUUACUUCAACGGCUAUGUAACCGUUUCUGGGUUUUCAUUCUUUCAUUUUUUUUAUUUUUCUCUUUAGUCUUCAUCUCUGUUUUUUUUUAUUGAUCUUUUCAAUCUUUGGGAGGUAUUAUGUAAAAAAAAAGGUGAUGUAGUAUAAACUGUGAAAUUAUCUUUAAAGAGUUAUCCAAGAUCUUAUUCAAUUAAUAGGAUAAAGAAAAAAAAAUCAAGCACACUCACAAUAACACAAGAAUUUACGAGAUUCGUUUUUUUGAUAACCUACGUUCACGGGCACAACAAUAGAGAAAGAUUUACUAAAAAAAAAAUCAAAAGAUUACAAAAACAGUCUUAAACUCAUAACUCUUAUCCUACGUACACUCAAAUCACUCUUUCUAAAUCUAAGUGAUGACUAUUCUUUAACACCAUAGAAUCUUUUAAUAGGGACCAAGUACAAUAAUUUUAUCCUAACACAAUUAGGAUAUGUUAUUCUAAUAUAACUAGAUUUAAAUAUUAUCUUAACAAGGUAUACUAGUUUAAUUAAAAUUAAACAAUCUUAAUUAAAUCACUAUUUAAGACUAUCCUAGCAAAUCUCCACCUUAGACUUGAAUUCAUCAAACUCCACCUUACGAACCAAUUUCUGUGGACACCGCCAAUGCCCAAAAGGACCUCAAGCACUACGAACACUAAUCAAGUCCAAGCAAUGCUUGAACUUUAUCCCAGAAACUAACUUAGUCACUAUAUUUGUCGGGUUUUCAGCUGUAGUUAAUUUCUUUAUUGCAAUCUCACAUCUAGAAACAAUAUUUUGAACAAAGUUAUACUUGACUUAGAUGUGUUUGGUUUUCUCAUGAAACAUUUGAUUUUUAGUCAAGUGUAUGGCACUUUGACUAUCACAAAACACAAGCAUAUGUGCCUGUCCAAAACCGAGAUCACUAGCCAAACCUCGAAACCAUAAAGCUUCCUUCAUUGCCUCAGUCACAGCUAUAUAUUCAGCUUCAAUUGUAAACAAAGCAACUAUUACUUUCCAAUUGAUUGCAAACCUUAAAAGGGGAGCACAUACCCCAUUCGAGAUCUUCUACUAUCUAGAUCACCAGCAAAAUCUGAAUUGGAGAAGCUAACCAUAUUACAACUAUUGUUUGCACCACCUUCACAUAUUAAGCUAACAUCAAUAGUACCUUUAGGUAUUUUCACAAGCUCCCACAUUUGAUUUCAGUGUAAAAACACAAUCUUCUUAGAAGACUUGGCAUAUGUAAUUGUCUCACAAUAAAACAAGAUAUAUUCCUUGUAAGCAAGGUCAUGAGCACAAGCAAUUCAAUUCCCGAAGCAGAAACAAAAAGAGUCAACUUCCCUUCUGCUUCCUUAUGCAACAACACUAACUAAAUCAGAGAUAAGCUACCAGAAGCAUUCGGGAAACUCCCCUACUAUCCCCGUUGCACCUAUUCCUAAUAUAUGAAGACUGCAGUUUUAUGGUCGUCUCGUCCCUUACAAAACUAACAGCCAAGCACCCAUAGCAAGUCACAAACAGCCCAUAGCAGAUCAUUUUAUCCAUAUUAUCCAAACCACCAGAAAUAAGACAUCCCCCACUACCACCGAACUCACUAAGAACCAACUUAUAUUCCACAUUACAUUCAACCCUUGUGCUAUUGAAAUAUUAGAUAUAUAUUUAGUGAUAUAUCGUAUAUUAAUAUUAGAUACUUAGAUAUAGGAAAUACCUAACUCAAUCCCAAAGUGUUCCUAUUUUUUGAGAAUUUUAUUUGUUGGAUAUAAGAUUGGGAGUGUAGUUGAGAUAAAAAGCUGUACAUUUGGCUUUUAAUAAAUUUAUAUGGUUUAGUUUCAAACUAGAAAUGUGUUACAAGUGAUAACAAUUACUGAUGAAAAACUCUUUAAGGCUCUGUUAUUCACUUUGUAGACCAGAAGGGAUUGAUUGGGUUGUGCACUUGUUAUGCACCUUGUAGCUGAUAUAAAACUCUAGUAGGCUCCGUGGUGCACUUGUUAUGCACCUCUGUUUUUUAUUUUUACUCUGCUUAUGAACUUCAUCCCCAGCCUUAUAGGCUGAACUCAGUGUAUAGUUUUUUCAGUCAUAUUAAUGAAUUUAUCUUCAUGGUUGAGAAAAAAAAAAUUAAUGAUGAAACAACAUGAUAUAGGAAAAGGGAAGAAAAGAAAAGACACAGGAGUAGAAAAAUAAUCAUAUUCAAAGCUUUAUUAAUAGAGCAAAGUUCAUUACAAAUCUCUGGCAGAGGCUGCAAGUCCAGCUAGCCAAUAAAAUAAUCAUUAAACAACGAAAAUCAGACCCAAAAAAGAGAAACAGAAAAGAACCAACUUAAGUUGCCUUCUCAACUUCAAAAUAAAAGAUAAAAAUGGGGGGAAGGGGGUAUUAAAAUGGAUUGUUUAGUCAUGAAGAAUUAAUUCAAUUUUAGUAACCAUUAGUGGCUGAUUUAGCUACGGAGGUGUAGAAGAAAGGCCCCACGGAGUACAAAUUCAUCUUCUUAUUUAGAACACGGAAAUUAGAAAGAGGAGCACCAUCAAUCCCUUUGUUGUCAUUCGUG
rnacentral:lncRNA from 1 species